UCAGUAUGACGAGUGGAAAUUGUUACCAUUUUUGAGCCGAAAAUGGUAACAAUUUCCGCUCGUAAUAUUAA
rnacentral:miRNA from 1 species